AAAAAUCAUUUUUCCCUUUUUUUGACAUUAAAACGUAUAUAUGUCUUAUUACGAAUGAUUGGAUUUUUUACGAUUGUAACGUAUUUUUCUGCAAUUUUUGGAUUGUAACAGUCAUUUGACAAAUUUCAAGCAAAAGUUUCGUUUUAUCAUGAGUUAAUGCGUCAUAUCUAUGCAUUUAUAACGGUUAAACGCUUAUUUAGUUAAAUCGUUAACCACAACUUAGGUAAGUGUCUUAAAACGUAGCUUAUUAACCGUUAACAUUUCUACCAGGGGUACUAUACUGUAAAGUAAGAAGGAGACAAACUCGACUUAUAGUAAAUUUUAGUAUGCGGUAGAGUAAAAUUUCAGAUCACCAAAUUUUACUAUACUAUAUAUAGCAAUUUUUACUGUACCGCAUAUCAAAGUUUAUGGAUAAUUAAUCUUUUUAAAAAUAUUUUUGGCCCUUUUAUUUUGUCGUCUAUUGGUGCUAAUUCUCUUACUUGUGUUUGUUGGGUGUUGCAUGAAAAUUUUUAUUGAUUUAUUUGUUACAUUUAUCUCGAAGUUGCAUCGCAUAGAAUUUCAUGAUAACCUAAUUUACUUACAUUGCAAGCUGAUUAUUACACAUGUCGCAUCGCUAAACUAAUCGUAUUGAUAUUUAUAUAUAAUGUUCUGAUCUGGAAGUUCAUUAUAUACUAACCGAACAGUUUUUCGUCACUUGCGAGUGGGGUUUACGAGUCGCCCCUUAGCGGUAGUAAGUGAUUAGGCGAAUUUCUAUCGUCGGGUUAAGUUACGGCGAAUUUUUUAGCUCUUUUGGUAAUUUUUUUUACCGACGGAACACAGCAAGUCAAAGCGAAGUGCAAUUUUCACUAUACUGGUUGAGUUUCUCUCCCGAUUAGGAGAAAGUAUAGUAAUUUUUAGUGAUAUAUUUCUCUCCGUGCAAUAAGCAGACGGCAGCACUGCACGAAAAACGCUACGCACUACAAACAGCCACAUUUACGAUGAACUUAGAGCAUAUUCGACAAUUGAUUACUUAACACUGCUUUUGUUGUAUAUUUUCUUGAUCUUAAUAUUGUAUUUUAUCUCUUAUUGAUUUAAUGUAUCAAAUAAUCAAGCCAAAGGGUAUAAAAUUAAAUUUUAAAUAUAGUGAAAUUAAAAUAAUCGGUAUGUUUACCCAUAACUAUGACUGACUAAAAAAAAAGAGAAUCGGGAAGACAAAAAAUUAAAUUAUUUUCGUAAAAUUAAUUUUCAAACUUAAUUUGCUUAAUAAAUAGGUUAUUAAACUAAUUCAAAGGAUAAUAGGUGGCGGCGCUUCCGACGGCACAGUGUAUAAAACUUAUACUUACCAUUGGGGCGCUACUGAUUAGCUUUUAAUAGCAAUUGACACGCCUUAUUGAUGAUACGUUGGAAAGCAGGUAUACUAAAACACUUCAGAGCUAAUCUUUGCAAUUUUUAUCAAAAAAUUUAACAUGAGAUAUCAUUGUUAAUAAAUAUUACAAAAAUUAACUCUGAAGUGAUUUAGUACACUUACUUUCUGAUGUAUUAUCCGUAUGGUACUAGCACCAAUAAGGCGUGUCAAUUUCCAUUUAAAACUAAUUUACUAUAUUUUUUGAUUUAUAAAUAAUUUUGGCUCGGAAAUGAGAUGUUGGCGUGAGAUCAUUACAAGAGAUCUAAUGUGAGAUCUCACUUAAGAUAUCAUGUGAGAUUUUGCUAUAGGGAACACUAUAUCAAGCUGUGACAAAUUGUGCCAAGUCAUGCCAUGUUAUGUCCGGUUGUGCCCUACUAUUUUAAAUUGUGCCAAUUUAUGCCAGACUGUGCCAGAAAUCCUACAUAACUCGUAAAGAAUAUUUUCAUCAUUUUGUGUGAUAUAUAUUGUGCCAUACUGUGCCACGCUUAGCUGAACUGUAUCGAAAUGUGCUAAACUGUGCUAAAUCGUGCGAUACACCCGAAAUGGUAUAAGUGGGGCACAAGGUGGCACAAUUUGGCACAGUGUCGCACAUUGUGGCACUAUGUGGCGCAUACUAUGGCACAGUGUCGCAUAUUGUGGCACUAUGUGGCGCAUACUAUGGCACAAUUUUUAUCUUCACUAGGAAGAUGAGUUCUCGCUAUAUUUACAAGUAAACGCUUCGCAUGCAUUUAAUUGCAUUUUCCACCCGCUGCAUAAAAAAAUAACGUUCGAUGCACAUACAAAAAGUUGACUCUACACUCAGGAGAUCUCUACUCUCGUUUAGCUGGGGCGGCGAACCUCCCACUAGUACCAAAAUAUUUUAAGAUAGAGUUCAUGUGAGAUUCCGCACCGUGGUUUAAUAUUUUAUUAUAGAUUUUGCUAACUUUGAAACAUUUCUAAAUAUUCUGGCACACUUCCGCCACCUUUACCCUGCUGAAAAAAACUCACGUAAAAACCCAUGCGAGUACUCACGUGAAUACUUACGUGAGUUUUUUUAGCAGGUUGGCGCACUUUUGCAUAUUAUAGCGAGCCUAAUCGUUUUCACUAACCUAAUCAAGAGAAUAAUAGAAGUAAAAUAGUCAGGCCCGGCUUCAGACCUCAGGGACCAGGACAGAAGCAGCGGCGGACCACGGCAAGACCAGCUCAACGCCCUCUUCAGCGGCGGCUUUUGCUUGAGGUUUUAGCGUUGCAGAUUUUCAGAAGGAUGGAGCCUCAUUUAAAUAUGGAAGUUGAAGAGUAUGAAGAUUACGAACAAGCUAUAAAUGAUCAAAUUAGAUUUGAAUCAGCUUAUAGAAAUCAACAACUUAUAGAUGAUCAUAUUUGAGCAAGAAUAUGAUACUUAUUUAAAUGAAUCCAUGUUAGAAUUCCAAGAAUAUAAUAUCAAACAAUUGUAUGACAAGAUAAUAGAGUAAUAGAAUUAAAAUUGUUUCUGAAUUUGAACGAA